rnacentral:rRNA from 1 species
CUUGACUGUAGCCUGGAAUUGGGUUUGGGCUCUUCCUGCGCAGCCUAGGUGGGAGGCGUUGACAGUUCCCUUCCGGGGGAGCUUGAGCCAUCAGUGAGAGACCACUCUGGAGGAGCUAGAAUUCUAAUGGCGAUCCUUGAAUCAGGACGCUUGACAGUUUCAGGCGGGCAGUUUGACUGGGGCGGUCGCCUCAUAAAAGGUAACUGAGGCGUGCAAAGGUUCCCUCAGGCUGGACGGAAAUCAGCCGUAGAGUGUAAAGGCAGAAGGGAGCUUGACUGCAAGACUUACAAGUCGAGCAGGGGCGAAAGCCGGCCUUAGUGAUCCGACGGGACCGUGUGGAAGGGCCGUCGCUCAACGGAUAAAAGUUA